CACCACUGGGUCGGAAGGAUUGCCCUUCUCUUUGGAAAUGUGAAUAUAAUAGUGGGAAUUCAAAUUGGUGAUGCGGGUAGUGGAUGGAAAGCAGGAUAGGGAUUUCUUCUUGGUACAGUUCUAAUUGCAACUAUUGUUUUAGAAAUAUUGUCAAGGAUAAAAAGGUCGGAGCAUACAGAUGUUCGUCCAGCUUCAGGCAAGGGGAUUCUGACCCCUUGCAACCUCACCAACUUAUUGUGAAGGUUUUGUUUUUUUUUUUUGAACAAGGAAAGUGAACUUAUUGUGAAGUUUGAUCCACAGUUGAGUGCUAGUGUCUAGUACUCGGGAUCUACACUACCCAACAAUCAACUCUCAUUCUCUGUGAUUUCUUGAUUCAGCAAUGGAACUAGCACUGUCCUUGGAGAAGUUGACAAAUGAGAAACUUCUGAGCUUGCAUGGUGUUGAACCGUGUCUAAAAAGGAAGUUUGGGACUUGAGACUAGGACUACUCAUACUUGCUCUGUUCUUGACAACAAGUGGCUGCUCAAAACAAUGAUCCUCAAGAAUGAUCUUAAGGGCAGGUUAUUGUGUUACAAACAAGAUUGGACUGGUGGCUUCAGAGCUGGCUUCAGGAUUUUGCCUCCAGUCAUUUCAUUUGGGGAACAACUAGAUAGAAACACUGGUAUGGGAAUUAACUGUAAAUAAUUCUCAACCUAAAUGAAAUUUCUUUUAUAUUUUGGAAUGGAUGUUAAAUGGCUUCAGGUAUGUACUACAAUCAUGAUAUGUAUCAAGCCUUUAUUUGCUAUAUGAUUUUACAUUAAAUGCUCCACCUUUACUGAUUUUGGGAGUUGCGGAGCCCACUGUACUAAUGUAUACAUUCAUGUUUAACUUUGCCAAAGAGAGACCAGAUUUGGGUCACAAACUGUUUCUUCCAUGGACUGGAUGGGUGUGCGUGUGGACUGCAAUGUUGCUGUUCUUACUGGCUAUCUUAGGAGCUUGCUCCAUUAUCAACAGAUUUACUCGAAACGUAAUAAUGAUAUAAGAAUCUCAAAACGUGCAAAGAUGUUGCCGCAGUAGAUAUCAAUAUGGGUUGCCCAAAAUCAUUCUCUAUUAGUGGCGGAAUGGGCGCUGCAUUAUUGACUAAGCUGGCGCUUAUUCAUGAUAUCUCUGCAAGGAAAUAGGCUGACAGGGAAAAUUCCAGAGGUGAUAGGUCUAAUGCAAGCCCUUGCUGUUUUGAAGCUACAAAAAAGGCCCAAGAAGAGGCUUCUGAGCAUGUGAGAUGUCUAGAAGAAGAUUUGGGAAAGUUGAGUACAAGUUUUUUGUUGAUGGAGAAUGGCGGCAUGAUGAGCACCAACCAUUUGUAAGUGGAAAUUAUGGGGUGGUGAACAGUGUCUUCUUAGCUAGGGAGCCUGAUGGGUAGAUCUAGUAUGGAUGUGGAUAAUGAUCCAUUUUUUCAUUUUUUGGAAGCAAAUUAUCUUACAAAAGCUUUUGUAAUACAAGUUGGUCUAGUUGAUAA